rnacentral:lncRNA from 1 species
UCCAUUAGUUUUGCAUGUUUAAAAUGUUGCAUGGAAAUAACAGUUAUCCAGAUGACUGAGUUUUUGGCGCCACCUUAAACAGCACGCUCAGGAGACUUCACAGACCCUCUUCAACUCCAUCCAAGACUUUCAAAGAAUCGUACUCCAAUUAGCGAGAUUACUACAAAGCCAAACUUCCUCUUUAAACUUGUGUUGAUUUCCCCUACACCCUCCCUACCAAAGAAGGACUAAAUAUCUUCUUCUUUUCCAUGCUUUGUAAAGCUAUUUCUUAAAUGAUGGGAUGUAUGUUGCCU